UACGGAGGGUGCGAGCGUUGUCCGGAAUUACUGGGCGUAAAGGGCGCGCAGGCUGUGCUGCAAGUCAGCUGUUAAAUGUCUGGGCUUAACCCGGGCAUGCGGUUGAGACUGCAGUGCUGGAGUGCUGUAGAGGCAAGUGGAAUUCCCAGUGUAGCGGUGAAAUGCGUAGAUAUUGGGAAGAACUCCGGUGGCGAAGGCGACUUGCUGGGCAGCAACUGACGCUAAGGCGCGAAAGCCAGGGGAGCAAACGGG
rnacentral:rRNA from 1 species